rnacentral:rRNA from 1 species
CUGCCUCAUACAGGGGGAUAACAGUUAGAAAUGACUGCUAAUACCGCAUAAGCGCACAGGACCGCAUGGUCCGAUGUGAAAAACUCCGGUGGUAUGAGAUGGACCCGCGUCUGAUUAGCUGGUUGGUGAGGUAACGGCCCACCAAGGCGACGAUCAGUAGCCGGCCUGAGAGGGUGAACGGCCACAUUGGGACUGAGACACGGCCCAAACUCCUACGGGAGGCAGCAGUGGGGAAUAUUGCACAAUGGGGGAAACCCUGAUGCAGCGACGCCGCGUGAAGGAAGAAGUAUUUCGGUAUGUAAACUUCUAUCAGCAGGGAAGAAAAUGACGGUACCUGACUAAGAAGCCCCGGCUAACUACGUGCCAGCAGCCGCGGUAAUACGUAGGGGGCAAGCGUUAUCCGGAUUUACUGGGUGUAAAGGGAGCGUAGGCGGUUUAGCAAGUCAGAAGUGAAAGCCCGGGGCUCAACUCCGGGACUGCUUUUGAAACUGUUGAACUAGAUUGCAGGAGAGGUAAGUGGAAUUCCUAGUGUAGCGGUGAAAUGCGUAGAUAUUAGGAGGAACACCAGUGGCGAAGGCGGCUUACUGGACUGUAAAUGACGCUGAGGCUCGAAAGCGUGGGGAGCAAACAGGAUUAGAUACCCUGGUAGUCCACGCCGUAAAC